rnacentral:rRNA from 1 species
CUACCCUGUUGCCCCUGACAUCCUCGGGCCUUUGAAGGCAAUCGGGGAUACGAGUCUCACGCUGGAACCGCCGAAACUCCCAAACGGUCCGCCGCUACCUGAUGAGGCUGCGGCCGAUUAUGUUGACGGGGGGGUAACGGCCCACCGUGCCGAUAAUCGGUACGGGUUGUGAGAGCAAGAGCCCGGAAACGGAAUCUGAAACAAUAUUCCGGGCCCUACGGGGCGCAGCAGGCGCGAAACCUUUACACUGCACGCACGUGCGAUAAGGGGACUCCGAGUGGGAGGGCAUAUUGUCCUCUUUUUUCUGAACCGUAGGGAGGUUCAAGAAUAAGAGGUGGGCAAGACCGGUGCCCGCCGCCGCGGUAAUACCGGCAGCUCGAGUGAUGGCCGAUUUUAUUGGGCCUAAAGCGUCCGUAGCCGGCCUGGCAGGUCCGUCGGGAAAUCCAGCCGCCCAACGGGUGGGCGACCGGGGGAACCCGCCAGGGUUGGGACCGGAAGACUCGAGGGGUACCUCCGGGGUAGGAGUGAAAUCCCGUAAUCCUGGACGGACCGCCGAUGGAGAAAGCCCCUCGAGAAGACGGCUCCGACGGUGAGGGAAAAAAGCUGGGGUCUCGAACCGGAUUAAAUACCCGGGUAGUCCCCCCCGUAAACGAUGUUCGCUAGGUGCGCCACCGGCUACCAACCGGCGGUGUGCCGGAGGGAAGCCGCUAAACCAACCGGCUGGGAAGUACCUCCGCAGGAAGAAACUCAAAGAAUUG